CCAGACUCCUACGGGAGGCAGCAGUGGGGGAUAUUGCACAAUGGGGGAAACCCUGAUGCAGCGACGCCGCGUGAGGGAAGACGGCCUUCGGGUUGUAAACCUCUGUCGCAGGGGACGAAGGAAGUGACGGUACCCUGUGAGGAAGCCACGGCUAACUACGUGCCAGCAGCCGCGGUAAUACGUAGGUGGCAAGCGUUAUCCGGAUUUACUGGGUGUAAAGGGCGUGUAGGCGGGACUGCAAGUCAGAUGUGAAAAUUAUGGGCUCAACCCAUAACCUGCAUUUGAAACUGUAGUUCUUGAGUGAUGGAGAGGCAGGCGGAAUUCCGUGUGUAGCGGUGAAAUGCGUAGAUAUACGGAGGAACACCAGUGGCGAAGGCGGCCUGCUGGACAUUAACUGACGCUGAGGCGCGAAAGCGUGGGGAGCAAACAGGAUUAGAUACCCGUGUAG
rnacentral:rRNA from 1 species